rnacentral:lncRNA from 1 species
CUGUGCCUAUUUGAAUUCAUGAGAAACAAGUUCUCAUGAAUUUUCUCCCAUGCAAAAGCCUUCCCAUGCCCCACCUGUGUGCACCAUCUAAGUGGAUAAAGAUGAUUGGUUGGCCAUUCAAAUUCAAAUGAAGUUUGAAUUUGAAUGGAUAACUAAUCCCAUGCGCCACCACUUUCUUUUGUUUGCCUCUUACUCUACACGAGAAAAAGUUUCUCGUGUAAACUCUUCAUGCACAAAGAAGCCCACGCCCCUCCCUUCUCACGCCAAGAGUGGAUAAAGAUUGGUUGGUUGGCAUUUGAAUUCAAAUUCGAUUUGAAUUCAAGUGAGCAACCACCUAUCUUUAUCC